UACGAAGGGGGCUAGCGUUGCUCGGAUUUACUGGGCGUAAAGGGCGCGUAGGCGGACAGUUUAGUCAGAGGUGAAAGCCCAGGGCUCAACCUUGGAAUUGCCUUUGAUACUGGCUGUCUUGAGUACGGGAGAGGUGAGUGGAACUCCGAGUGUAGAGGUGAAAUUCGUAGAUAUUCGGAAGAACACCAGUGGCGAAGGCGACUCACUGGGCCGCAACUGACGCUGAGGAGCGAAAGCAUGGGGAGCGAACAGG
rnacentral:rRNA from 1 species